rnacentral:snoRNA from 1 species
UGGGCACGCAACCUACCCUUGAGAGUAGUUUGUUAAGGUCACAAACUGGUCGAUGAACUCACAAGUGUAGGUAGUGUGCUAAACCAGCGGCAAGGUUUUCGCUAACACCCCACUCUGUUCCAGUGACUGGAGUUUGAUAGUAACCUUUGCUACAAGU